rnacentral:lncRNA from 1 species
UUUUUUUUUCCUUUAAAUGCGACGAAACCCUAUAAUUGAAUCAACGAUGCUUUUUCCCCUUCGUUAUCUUUGAAAAAUCGAAAUGAAAAUCUUCUUCACUUGACUGAUAAGUCAUUUUCUCAUCAAGAUUAAAUGGUAUACACUAAAAUGCGCAAAUUGUGUAUGAAGAACAGGAUGAUCAUGAUGAUUCCAGCUCAAGCAGUGUUCGUCACAAUAAACGUGGGUACACCAGACAAGUAAAUUUCAUUUCUACUUUUUUUUUCUUUUUUUUCUUUUUUUUUUUUUUAUAUUCUUAUCUGUUAAAAAAUCUUUGAAUUAGAGUGAAAUAAAAGUAAAGUGUGUUAUUUAAAAAAAAAAUAAAAAUAGUAGGAAUAGAGAAAUGAGGAAUGGAGAUAUGGUGAAUCCAGGCUUACGAUGAGGCCCCCAAAGGUUAAUUGAUUUAUUUCUUUCUCAAUUCUUUCAGUUUUAGCAGUCAAGACAAUGUUAGUUCCCGUCAUAUUUUAGAUUUUGGAAAUAAUCUGAAGAAAGAACAAAAAUAAACCCCUGUUGAAUUUUUGAGAUUUCCCAAAAUAAAUUUUUAAAAAGGUUCUGACACAGAAGAAAACAAACUCUGAUUUGAAGCCAAUAUCUAGCAACUUAAUCUAGUGAAGUAUGUGGAUGCUUUUUACCAAGUAGUGUAAAAAAUUAAUCAAGAUUGAUGAAGAAACAACAAAUACACAGAUUUUUUGCCAAAUGUUUCCCAGCAAUCUUUAGCUUUUUUACCUCCUGUAAAUAAUCCAUCCAAAACUUUUAUAUUUGGCAAAAAAAAUUAAUGAUCAAAAGCUAUUGUAGAAUUUGAAGCUGUGUUCAAUUAUUAGAAAGUCGCACAUUAAAUUUUGAGAUCUGGAUAUUGCUCUGUUUUGGUGGAGAAAUGGGAAGUUCAAAGGACGAAAUAGUUGUUGCUGUGAUCACAAUGGGUGGACCCACAAGAGGUAUGGUUAUUGUUUAUAUUUUUUUUUUCCUUUCAUCUUUAAUUAACUAAUUUUACUAUGUAUGAUUGCAAUGUGGUAUUGAUUAGAAUUUGAUUGCUCUUAGAGGGAAUAAUGAGUUCUUUUAUUAUAUUGAUUAUAACUAUUGAAAAUAUUUUAGUUUUAACUAAAUAUUUGGAUUUUCGGAUUGAAUAAGAUUACCCUUUUGUUGAUAUUACUUUUUCUAUAGGAAAAAUUAAGAUUUUUCUUUUUAAUUGAGAUUUUUAGGUGCAAGCACUAGAUUUAGGCCAUUGUUAUUAAAUAUUCCAAGGCCAUUUUUUUCACCAGUAGGGCAGCCCAUGGUUCAUCAACCAAUCUCUGCUUGUAAAAGGGUAUGAAAUUUCAUUGAAUUUAUAUCCAUAGCGAAAAGAUCGAAUAAUUUUGGAUCACUGGUAUCUCAUGAGUUUUAGGAAGGCAUUUUGUGACAUCAAACUUACAAAUAAAAUAUCAUUUACUCCAGGUAAUCAAAGGGGUUAUUAUGUUAAUUGAAAUUUUUUGAAGUAGCUCACAUAUUUGUACAAGUUUUGUAAAUGGUAUUUAAUGGAAUUAAUAUAUAUCACUUGGUCAUGGAAUUAAUAAUUCUUGUUAUCAGAUAAAUGUCUAUUUCUGUGUGUUAAGAAAUACUGUUGCUGGAUCUUCUCUGCAACCUAUCAGACUAACAAAUGCAAGGAUGUGUUCUAAAUAAGAGCAUCAAUCUCCCCAUUUAUACCAAUUGAUAGGUCUAUAAGUUUUGCAAUUGUAAUUUGUAAGGGCGAAAAGGGUAACUUAUGCUUACCCAAGUCAAGUUUCUUACCUUUUAUGGUGAUCUAUGUUCUCUGCACAGAAUUGAUGUUAAGGUUUCCAAAUUGAAGAAAGAACUUGAUGCGCUUAAAUCAUCAAAUAAUCAUACUGGGGAUGGUCAUGAAACAAACAUUCAAGAUAAUGCAAUUCUGAGACAGUGGUUCCUGUGGAAAGGAAUCGACAUCCAAUAGCCGCUAAUGGUUGAGGACUAGAACUAGCUUUAGUUUAUGAGGUGGUAUAUUUGUUGGCUUUUGUAUCAAACACUCGGUGGACAGUAUCUAUUAUGUCGUUGUUUAAUGUUGAAAGCGAUAUUUGCAGUUGGUUGUAAUUAAUUAAUGUAGAGAGAUGUUUCGAAAAUAGAUAAAGUUGAGUAAUUUUUAAUUCAUAAACAAGAGUUUGGAAAAAGAAGAUAACUAAUAAGUUUAGAUAAAAUCAAGUAGAAAAAUUGAUGUGUACAAAGAGAAGAACAUUGAUAAUGAUCGAUAAGUGGUGUAAAGAGAAAAAAACAUUGGUUAUAAUUGGAGAACCUACAUGGAAAUAAUGAAUAUAUCAGUUCAAUUUAACAAAACCUUGGAAUACCGACCAAAUACAUAGCCAUUG